rnacentral:rRNA from 1 species
AGAAGCAGGGGAUCGUAAGGCCUUGCACUUUUGGAGCGGCCGAUGUCUGAUUAGCUAGUUGGUGGGGUAAGGGCCUACCAAGGCGACGAUCAGUAGUUGGUCUGAGAGGACGACCAGCCACACUGGGACUGAGACACGGCCCAGACUCCUACGGGAGGCAGCAGUGGGGAAUUUUGGACAAUGGGCGCAAGCCUGAUCCAGCAAUGCCGCGUGAGUGAAGAAGGCCUUCGGGUUGUAAAGCUCUUUCAGUCGAGAAGAAAAGGCUACGGUAAAUAAUCGUAGUUCAUGACGGUACCGACAGAAGAAGCACCGGCUAACUACGUGCCAGCAGCCGCGGUAAUACGUAGGGUGCGAGCGUUAAUCGGAAUUACUGGGCGUAAAGGGUGCGCAGGCGGCUUUGUAAGUCAGAUGUGAAAUCCCCGGGCUUAACCUGGGAAUUGCGUUUGAAACUACAAAGCUAGA